rnacentral:rRNA from 1 species
GAGUACGGCCGCAAGGCUGAAACUUAAAGGAAUUGGCGGGGGAGCACUACAACGGGUGGAGCCUGCGGUUUAAUUGGACUCAACGCCGGAAAACUCACCGGGGGCGACAGCAAUAUGUAGGUCAGGUUAAAGGUCUUACCUGAAUCGCUGAGAGGAGGCGCAUGGCCGUCGUCAGUUCGUACUGUGAAGCAUCCUGUUAAGUCAGGCAACGAGCAGGACCCGUGCCCACUGUUACCAGCAUAUCCUUUAUGGAUGAUGGGGACUCUGUGGGGACCGCUGCUGCUAAAGCAGAGGAAGGUGCGGGCUACGGUAGGUCAGUAUGCCCCGAAUCUCCCGGGCUACACGCGGGCUACAAUGGUUGGGACAAUGGGUAUCUACUCCGAAAGGAGUUGGCAAUCUCUUAAACCCAAUCGUAGUUCGAAUUGAGGGCUGUAACUCGCCCUCAUGAAGCUGGAAUCCGUAGUAAUCGCGUUUCAACAUAGCGCGGUGAAUCUGUCCCUGCUCCUUGCACACACCGCCCGUCAAACCAUCCGAGUGAGGUAUGGGUGAGGGCACGAACUUAGUGUCGUGCUCGAACCUAAAUUUCGCAAGGAGGGUUAAGUCGUAACAAGGUAGCCGUAGGGGAAUCUGCGGCUGGAUCACCUCCU